rnacentral:rRNA from 1 species
UACGUAGGGGGCAAGCGUUGUCCGGAAUCAUUGGGCGUAAAGAGCGUGUAGGCGGCCUGAUAAGUCGGCUGUGAAAGUCAAGGGCUCAACCCUGGGAUGCCGGUCGAUACUGGUGGACUAGAGUCCGGAAGAGGCGAGUGGAAUUCCCGGUGUAGCGGUGAAAUGCGCAGAUAUCGGGAGGAACACCAAUGGCGAAGGCAGCUCGCUGGGACGGUACUGACGCUGAGACGCGAAAGCGUGGGGAGCAAACAGG